rnacentral:tRNA from 1 species
CAGCCUGUAGCUCAGUGGUUUCAGAGCCGAAGUCUUAUAAACUUCAAGCCCUCACAAGGUAUACGCAGUUUCGAUUACUGCCAGGCUGA